UUAAGCGACUAAGCGUACACGGUGGAUGCCCUGGCAGUCAGAGGCGAUGAAGGACGUGCUAAUCUGCGAAAAGCGCCGGCGAGGUGAUAUGAACCUUUGACCCGGCGAUGUCCGAAUGGGGAAACCCAGUGUGAUUCGUCACACUAUCGUUAACUGAAUACAUAGGUUAACGAGGCGAACCGGGGGAACUGAAACAUCUAAGUACCCCGAGGAAAAGAAAUCAACCGAGAUUCCCCCAGUAGCGGCGAGCGAACGGGGAGCAGCCCGGAGUCUGAAUCAGCUUGUGUGUUAGUGGAACGGUCUGGAAAGUCCGACGGUACAGGGUGAUAGUCCCGUACACGAAAAUGCACAGGUUGUGAACUCGAAGAGUAGGGCGGGACACGUGGUAUCCUGUCUGAAUAUGGGGGGACCAUCCUCCAAGGCUAAAUACUCCUGACUGACCGAUAGUGAACCAGUACCGUGAGGGAAAGGCGAAAAGAACCCCGGCGAGGGGAGUGAAAAAGAACCUGAAACCGUGUACGUACAAGCAGUGGGAGCCUACUUGUUAGGUGACUGCGUACCUUUUGUAUAAUGGGUCAGCGACUUAUAUUCUGUAGCAAGGUUAACCGUAUAGGGGAGCCGAAGGGAAACCGAGUCUUAACUGGGCGUUAAGUUGCAGGGUAUAGACCCGAAACCCGGUGAUCUAGCCAUGGGCAGGUUGAAGGUUGGGUAACACUAACUGGAGGACCGAACCGACUAAUGUUGAAAAAUUAGCGGAUGACCUGUGGCUGGGGGUGAAAGGCCAAUCAAACCGGGAGAUAGCUGGUUCUCCCCGAAAGCUAUUUAGGUAGCGCCUCGUGAACUCAUCUUCGGGGGUAGAGCACUGUUUCGGCUAGGGGGCCAUCCCGGCUUACCAACCCGAUGCAAACUACGAAUACCGAAGAAUGUUAUCACGGGAGACACACGGCGGGUGCUAACGUCCGUCGUGAAGAGGGAAACAACCCAGACCGCCAGCUAAGGUCCCAAAGUCAUGGUUAAGUGGGAAACGAUGUGGGAAGGCACAGACAGCCAGGAUGUUGGCUUAGAAGCAGCCAUCAUUUAAAGAAAGCGUAAUAGCUCACUGGUCGAGUCGGCCUGCGCGGAAGAUGUAACGGGGCUAAACCAUGCACCGAAGCUGCGGCAGCGACACUAUGUGUUGUUGGGUAGGGGAGCGUUCUGUAAGCCGUUGAAGGUGGCCUGUGAGGGUUGCUGGAGGUAUCAGAAGUGCGAAUGCUGACAUAAGUAACGAUAAAGCGGGUGAAAAGCCCGCUCGCCGGAAGACCAAGGGUUCCUGUCCAACGUUAAUCGGGGCAGGGUGAGUCGACCCCUAAGGCGAGGCCGAAAGGCGUAGUCGAUGGGAAACAGGUUAAUAUUCCUGUACUUGGUGUUACUGCGAAGGGGGGACGGAGAAGGCUAUGUUAGCCGGGCGACGGUUGUCCCGGUUUAAGCAUGUAGGCGGAGGUUCCAGGUAAAUCCGGUACCUUUUUAACGCUGAGGUGUGAUGACGAGGCACUACGGUGCUGAAGUAACAAAUGCCCUGCUUCCAGGAAAAGCCUCUAAGCAUCAGGUAACACGAAAUCGUACCCCAAACCGACACAGGUGGUCAGGUAGAGAAUACCAAGGCGCUUGAGAGAACUCGGGUGAAGGAACUAGGCAAAAUGGUGCCGUAACUUCGGGAGAAGGCACGCUGAUAUGUAGGUGAAGCCCCUGCGGGUGGAGCUGAAAUCAGUCGAAGAUACCAGCUGGCUGCAACUGUUUAUUAAAAACACAGCACUGUGCAAACACGAAAGUGGACGUAUACGGUGUGACGCCUGCCCGGUGCCGGAAGGUUAAUUGAUGGGGUUAGCGGCAACGCGAAGCUCUUGAUCGAAGCCCCGGUAAACGGCGGCCGUAACUAUAACGGUCCUAAGGUAGCGAAAUUCCUUGUCGGGU
rnacentral:rRNA from 1 species